UGGAACAUAAUGAUAAGUCCUCUUCCUCUCUGUUUUCUCUUCUUUGUUCUCUCUAUAUUAUGGGUGAUUUGAAUUUAGGUUUUGAACAUUCUCAAUCUCAUUAAAUGUUAGGAUAAUUUGGGAUUAUUUUUCAGGCUACGAGAAUGUGAAAUUGGGGGUUAGGGUUUCUGUUGGAGAGGAAAUUUGUGGUGGUGAAGAAAAGAGGGAAAAAUGAAGAGAAUCCAAUGACAAGUACAACAAAUUCAAAGAGAAGGGAGAUUCAAAAGAGUUUAUGUAUUUGGCAUACGAGGAUUUGAGGGCUUCUCAGGAAGAGUUCUUCAAGACCCGACCCGAACCCAAGGGGUUGAAUGAGUACAGGGCCAAUCGGGAAUUCCAGGACGAAAUCGAGAAGGGGUUACUGAUUCCAGACAAGGACUUCGUCUUGGGAUGGAAGUCUGGAAGGACAGUGAGCAUCGUGGAGGUGCAGUUCGUGACGGCGAAGACGUCAAGGUUUCGGUCUCAUUGGCGACAACCAUUCCAUUCUCCAGGAUAUAAGCUGAGCUCGUAGUCAAAUUGAACUACUGCGAACUGUUCUCAAUCUCUGCAUAUGGCGACACCUAAAUCAGAGUUUAUUGCUAUGGCUUGAUCAUCAAGUUGCUGGAAGGUUCAAGGACAACUACAUUGGGUGUAAAGCAGCUCUCAAUCAUAACCACUUAUAAGCUACAAAAGAUUAUAAGCGAGGAGCAUUGAAAUUUAUACAGAAUGGCUCAGCAAACUCGUGCACUCCAUUGUUGAAGAUGAUGAGCUCUCUCAAUUCAAUAGUAAUGCAGUAAAUUAAUGAUUAUGUUUUUGUAGUAUGUUAAAUUUCAAUAUGUAGUCCAUAUUAGAUCUAAAGACACAACUUGUUGGUUGGAUUAGCUUUUGAAUUUCUUGUAUGCUACAAAUUAAUUAUGUAUCAUUUUGAAACA